UUCGAUUAUGUGAAUUUAAUUAGGUUAUAACUGGUUAGAGUAGUUAGUAUUCACACACACAGAAUUGGAUCAGAAGCAGGUUUAACAUAAUAAUUAGAUUGAAGCCUUACUCAUGACAGUGUUUUACAUUGUCUUUAAAUUAGUUGUUCUGAGCAUAGAGGCCAUAAUGCGAGUAGCUAUUGAUUCAACACUUGAGUCACUAUUUAUAAUAAAUUUUUGAUGUUUUUGUUUAGAUAGUUUUCUUAGGGACAAACAAAGACUUAAGUUUGGGGGUAUUUCAUGAGUGGAUUUUAUACCCGCAAAAU
rnacentral:lncRNA from 1 species